GCUCCACGGGAGGGCCCUUUGCUCGUGCAAUGCAGCACCCUGGCAAGGGCAUAACCUGGGUGCACCCAGGGCUACUCUGAGGGAGGUGGUGCUCAGCAGGGCUGCACCACAUCAGGGCAGCAGAUGGGCACAGUGUCUCCUUCGGCCUGGUUAGCAAGGGUGAGAAGCCAGAGUCAUCUUUUACAUUGGGAGGUAGAUCUCCUCAACAAUUUCCUUCCCUUUAUAAUUGCUACUCUUUAAAUAAGCAGUGCAACUUGACAUCAAAGUAAAGGCUCCCAAAGUCAGCACAAUAAUCAUUCAGCAACAUCUAUCCUUUCCAAUCCUGACUAUAAAAAGAAAAAUGGGAGAAGAGAGCACUGAGAUUUAUGGCAUCUACAGAAAGCUAGAGCUAUGCGGGCUGUAAAGCAAGCUGUACAGAUGAUUUUUAAUAGUAAAGGACCAUUUUGUCUAGCUGUGACAAAGGCCCACCAGCAUGAUCCAGAGCCUGGUGGGGCUUUUUGCUUGGCUUGUUAGGCUUGGAUGUUGCUUGCUGAAGACAAGAACAAGCUGGUGUCACACUGAACUGGCCGCAGUGAUUGUCCAGGCAGGGCCGUGGAGCUGGCAACCUACUUAGCCUCUGUGCAACCCAUCACCGGUACAGUGCUUCAUGAUGGGCAGCCAUCUAUGUUUCCCACCUGAAUAUUGCUUCAUGCUGCAGACGCUCAGCAAUGUUGUAACAGCACAUCACUGUUACUCUGCUUCAUGCUCCAAGAGCCAAGACAGGCAUCACACAGCCCCUUCACUGCCCUCACAUUUCGAUUUGCCCCAGGAGACGCCUCCAACAGCCUCUCCUCUCUUGCAUAAGCCUGCUCUGCUCAGAGAUGUCUCUGUCACAGCCUGCUGGGGCCUCAAUUUUGCACCUCGGUAACCAGCAGAGUCUCAGAAUUAUUCAGUUGUCCUGAGCAGGGACGGAUUGAAGCAAGUGCCAUUUUUUUUAGUUUUAUUUCUUUGCGUCAAGGCCCAGAUACAGCAGCUUCACACGCCUUUGGCAGAAAACUGUUAUUGCUUUCUGAAGCAGUUGUUUUUUCAAUGACACGACUUCCUGCAGGGGCGUUUUAAUUAUUGUUGGUGCAUCACCUAACUCAGUUAUGUGUUGCUUUGAAGUUGUUCUUUGCAUCUGAUAGUAAGAGGAUAGAAAUAAACACGACGGUGUUUAUUCGCUUCCCCUUGCCCUGCAUUGGUUUGGUGCGGCCCUUUCUGGAUUACUCAAGCACAGGGCGGGUGGAAGAGGAGGUCCCAAAGAAGAGGCCAGGCAAAGCACAUGCACUGACGCCUUUAUGCGGGCAGGUGCUUUCUCUUAGGCUGCCCCUAUUAGCAGUCAAAUGGAGAUCACACACACAGACCCCCAAAGCUCUGAAGACAGAAAAUUGCUGAAGACCAAGGGCUGCAUCAAUGCACUAAAUGGCCAUUCCUUGGUGAAAAAAUAAAAAUAAAAGAGAGUUCUUGAACCAAGUACAUCAGUGGUGUACUGGGGUACGUGAGCCACCGCACUGUGGCAGAGAAGCAAUAUUUGCAAGUGUUUGUGUGUGAGCGUGUGAAGCGAUCUCCCAGCCACCCGCAAAACAGAGGCAAGGAAAGCUUCCUCGUUGUACUGCCAAGGUAGGAUCGAAGGGCUCGACGCUAGCCAGAUGGCAGCAGAGUAUGCACAACCUACAGCGAGCUGCUGAAAUACAUCCCAGUCUCCUGCUACUUCAAUAUUUCGGGUGUAUUUAGGUAUCAAGGGCUGGGGGAUGGCACCUCGCUGCGCUCAGCUCGCAGUCUUCACCUUGAACUGGAUUCACCCCCUCCCCAUCCAGGUGACAGUCAAGUUCCUCAGAUUUCAUUUGCUUUUUCCUGAGUUAAUCACCACAAAGUUUUCUUUUUACAAGAGAAAAAAAAAAAAAAAAAAAAACAAUUCAUAAAAAAAAGAUGCCAAGAGCAAGAUAAAGCAUUUCAAACCAUCAGCUGCAAAGUACACGUGUUAGGAAGCUGUGAACUGGGCUGCUCAUUUUGGGGGAAGCCUCUCUCAUCAUCUUGAAAGAAUUUGUAUGAGUUUUAUAGUCAGACAGGACAGAUCCUUCUGGGAUCGCUAAAGCCUUCUCCCUUCCUACCAGAGGCACCAAGAGAAGGCACCAUGAGAACAGCUUUCAGCAGAGGCAGUUAUUAUUAAUGGUUUCUUCAUUAACAGGGCAAUUUCAGUCCCAUUCUGCCUCUCCCAUUGAGGACGGAAGUUCUCAACUUUCAAAAGCAAUCUGAGCAAGACAUGUGAGGAUUUCGCCAUUUGUGGCUUGGGAAAGUAGAGAUGAAAGACUUCUAAGACCUUUUGCUUGGAUUUGUUUUCUACUGUGUGAUGAUUAUGACAUUACUCACCACAUGUGCCAUCUUCCCAUCCCCGCAGACCGUGCUGGGGAGACCCGGUGCACUAUAGAACUCAUUUUGUACUCCAGGGCUUUCGGUUUCCAUCUAGUUUUUGCCACCAAGGCUGAGGUCCCAACUGGAGAGCUGCUAAGUUGGAUACCUAAGGUGAUAUUUACACUGGGAACUUCUCAAAGAAAGGCCACAAUCCUGCUUCAGAGCUACGCGGAGCUAUAAAGCCUCAUGUUUCUUUAACAAACUGUUUCUCAAGGCUUUAUUUUUUGCACUGAACCUUGUGCCGUGCUGAACAGAUGCCUUCAAAUGGAGGAUGCACUCGUACCACCUCUUGCGAGAGCUCCGUGACUGCGCUCACUGCUCCUGGGAAACCAAAGUCCAAAUGCACAGCAAAAAAAAUCCUCCAGCCAGCUCUCCACUCCCACUUCCCAACCCUGCACACCUGGUGUUUAACAUACACAAAGGCAGAGACUUUCCUUUGCCCACAGCCUGAAAACUGGAGUUUAGCAGCAAAGCUGAGCGGAAUGGGAACCUGGCAGAUGCUCCGCUUUCUGGUCUUUCUGCCUCCUCCUUUGCUAAGGCUUGUUUUCAAAUCCACAGCCUUCCGCCAUCCUCCGGUGAAUAAACCUCAUUAAACAGGAGGACAGAGGCAGCUCCUGGUGCCGAAACCUCUCGGCUUGUACGCGCAGCCUGCCCACGCUCGUGGCCACGGCCUGAAAAACCCUACUGAAAUCCUCUUGCUUCAGACCCACAACAAUCUUUGAACCCAGACAGAUGUCCAGAGAUGAAAGGGGGAAAUGAAGCUGCUGAGUUCCUUUCCUGCCAUGACAGAAGCGUACACACCAGUCAACUACUUCCUACAGCCAGCCCCACCCUCCGAAAUUCUGAGAAAAAAGGGAAAAAAAAGCUCAGCUAAUGAGAAUUGCAGCACUGUUCACGCCACAGUAGUUAAGGUUGUAUUCAUUAUAAAUCCCCUUUUCAAGGUUUCUGUCACUCAGCCAUAAAAAUCAUACUGGGUUGAAAUUUAGCAUCCAAGCUUUCUGCCCAAGGACAAUAUUUUUGACAGAAUUUGGAAACAAUUGGUUUGGCAAAGCGCAUCUGAAGUUUUAAGGAGUGCAAAAAAGAAUAGUGGUUAGUGGUGUCAGAUGCUAUUAUUUUAUGCUCUUAUAACUUAAAAACAACUAAUUUAGGUUCUGUGGUUGUUAUUACUCCAUAAUUUCCUCCGAAAUAUUUGGCCCGUUCCUAAUAACAAACUCCUGCAAAUUGCUAGCACCGCUUUAAAUAGAAAAAUAAUAGCAUUCCUGGGCCAAAUCUUCAGCUGCUAUAAAUUAGCUUAGUGUCAUUGCUGCCCUUCUACAGCAGCUGAGGUGUUGGCCCCAGGUGUUCGGCAGAACUCAUUUUGGUGUGUGCAUGUGUCUGGCUGGCUCCAUUAGUCUCUCGCUGGGCAGUUCCCAGGAAUUUAGAAAGCAGAUGGUUAGGUAAUGUCUUUGGGAUGUGACAGAAGCGGUCCUGCUCUCAUCAAAGCCUGUUGCUAAACAUCGCUUGACUUCAUGCGCUGAAGUCAACACCUCCACCUAGAAUGCGUAAGGUUUUCUUGGGGAGCACUGCCACACCAGGAAGCUGUGCCGGCUGCAUCCAAACCCAACUUGAAGUCAGUGCAAUGAAUCACACGCGUGUUUAGCCUCGCUUGUUUUGCCUCUGGAGCUGCUGCUACCAGAGAAGCUGCUGUUUAAUGCAUCUUGAGCAUAGUUCACAAGAGACCAGAUAUUUUGGAGCCCAUCACGUCCCAGGGCACAGUUACUGAAGGGUGUGAAUGGCCACAGGUCGGGUCUUUGGUGCCUUGGGAAGCCCGGCGUUUGCUGUUACUUGAGAGGUUUUUUGAGUGGGAUCUUGAACACCAGGGGAAAGGUUUGGGUGUUUUCAGAGGCUGUUCAUAACGACAACUCCUUUCCCCUCCUCCUCCUCGCACUUACAUAAGUGGUAUUUUCUUAUUGAGAGCUAGCGUUUGGAUAAACAAGCACUUGGGAAAUGCCUUAGGUAAGCUCUGAGUAACUGAGCAGUUCCUCUCCCAUUUUUACAGAUCUUCUGAGAGAAACCCGUGCUCACUGCACCAUGUCGAUGCAAUGUCUUCAAUGCUUUAACUUGGCACUUCUGCCCACUGCGAGCCUUCUGCAGCUCCCCCUACAAGCCACUCACCUCCCUGUUCCUCCCUCUUUGCCGUGCACAGCAAUGCACACAGACCAGCUCCUGGGUUCUCCUUGGGGGCUUCACAUCCUCGGCAGAAUUAAUAAAAUCAAGUUGCAUGGAGCAGCUGCUCAUAUCUGACACGUGCCCAAGACGACCCCUUGCAAAACUUUUCCAGUUUUUGAAAGCUCUCGUGCUUCCACGUGCACUGGGCGAGGUCAUGGUCAGCAGGCAGACCACCCUCAGAAGUCAGAUGAAGAUUGUGAAUAUUAGCAAGACGU